rnacentral:rRNA from 1 species
CACUCCUACGGGAGGCAGCAGUGGGGAAUAUUGCACAAUGGGCGCAAGCCUGAUGCAGCCAUGCCGCGUGUAUGAAGAAGGCCUUCGGGUUGUAAAGUACUUUCAGCGGGGAGGAAGGCGAUAAGGUUAAUAACCUUGUCGAUUGACGUUACCCGCAGAAGAAGCACCGGCUAACUCCGUGCCAGCAGCCGCGGUAAUACGGAGGGUGCAAGCGUUAAUCGGAAUUACUGGGCGUAAAGCGCACGCAGGCGGUCUGUCAAGUCGGAUGUGAAAUCCCCGGGCUCAACCUGGGAACUGCAUUCGAAACUGGCAGGCUAGAGUCUUGUAGAGGGGGGUAGAAUUCCAGGUGUAGCGGUGAAAUGCGUAGAGAUCUGGAGGAAUACCGGUGGCGAAGGCGGCCCCCUGGACAAAGACUGACGCUCAGGUGCGAAAGCGUGGGGAGCAAACAGGAUUAGAUACCCUUGUAGUCCC